GAUGAACGCUAGCGGGAGGCUUAACACAUGCAAGUCGAGGGGCAGCACGAGGUAGCAAUACUUUGGUGGCGACCGGCGCACGGGUGAGUAACACGUAUGCAACCUACCCUAUACUGGGGGAUAGCCCGGAGAAAUUCGAAUUAAUACCCCAUAAUAAUAUUUGAAGGCAUCUUUAGAUAUUUAAAGCUUCGGCGGUACGGGAUGGGCAUGCGGAACAUUAGCUAGUUGGUAGGGUAACGGCCUACCAAGGCUACGAUGUUUAGGGGACCUGAGAGGGUGAUCCCCCACACUGGUACUGAGACACGGACCAGACUCCUACGGGAGGCAGCAGUGAGGAAUAUUGGUCAAUGGGCGCAAGCCUGAACCAGCCAUCCCGCGUGAAGGAAGAAGGCGCUAUGCGUCGUAAACUUCUUUUCCAGAGGAAGAAAAUUCCGCACGUGUGCGGAACUGCCGGUACUCUGGGAAUAAGCAUCGGCUAACUCCGUGCCAGCAGCCGCGGUAAUACGGAGGAUGCGAGCGUUAUCCGGAUUUAUUGGGUUUAAAGGGUGCGUAGGCGGAUUAAUAAGUCAGUGGUGAAAACCUUCAGCUUAACUGGAGACUUGCCAUUGAUACUGUUAGUCUUGAGUACGGUCAAGGUAGGCGGAAUGUGUAAUGUAGCGGUGAAAUGCUUAGAUAUUACACAGAACACCGAUUGCGAAGGCAGCUUACUGGGCCAUUACUGACGCUGAUGCACGAAAGCGUGGGGAGCGAACAGGAUUAGAUACCCUGGUAGUCCACGCCGUAAACGAUGAUCACUCGCUGUUAGCGAUACACAGUUAGCGGCUAAGCA
rnacentral:rRNA from 1 species